UUGCGGAGGCUUAACACAUGCAAGUCGAGCGNCCCGCAAGGGGAGCGGCAGACGGGUGANGUAACGCGUGGGAAUCUACNCUUUNCUACGGAAUAACGCAGGGAAACUUGUGCUAAUACCGUAUACGCCCUUCGGGGGAAAGAUUUAUCGGGAAAGGAUGAGCCCGCGUUGGAUUAGCUAGUUGGUGGGGUAAAGGCCUACCAAGGCGACGAUCCAUAGCUGGUCUGAGAGGAUGAUCAGCCACAUUGGGACUGAGACACGGCCCAAACUCCUACGGGAGGCAGCAGUGGGGAAUAUUGGACAAUGGGCGCAAGCCUGAUCCAGCCAUGCCGCGUGAGUGAUGAAGGCCCUAGGGUUGUAAAGCUCUUUCACCGGUGAAGAUAAUGACGGUAACCGGAGAAGAAGCCCCGGCUAACUUCGUGCCAGCAGCCGCGGUAAUACGAAGGGGGCUAGCGUUGUUCGGAAUUACUGGGCGUAAAGCGCACGUAGGCGGACAUUUAAGUCAGGGGUGAAAUCCCGGGGCUCAACCCCGGAACUGCCUUUGAUACUGGGUGUCUAGAGUAUGGAAGAGGUGAGU
rnacentral:rRNA from 1 species